rnacentral:rRNA from 1 species
AGCGAACGCUGGCGGCAGGCUUAACACAUGCAAGUCGAGCGGGCACUUUCGGGUGUCAGCGGCGGACGGGUGAGUAACGCGUGGGAACGUGCCCUCUGGUUCGGAAUAACUCAGGGAAACUUGAGCUAAUACCGGAUACGCCCUUUUGGGGAAAGGCUUGCUGCCGGAGGAUCGGCCCGCGUCUGAUAGGCUAGUUGGUGAGGUAACGGCUCACCAAGGCGACGAUCAGUAGCUGGGCUGAGAGGAUGAUCAGCCACACUGGGACUGAGACACGGCCCAGACUCCUACGGGAGGCAGCAGUGGGGAAUAUUGGACAAUGGGCGCAAGCCUGAUCCAGCCAUGCCGCGUGAGUGAUGAAGGCCUUAGGGUUGUAAAGCUCUUUUAUCCGGGACGAUAAUGACGGUACCGGAGGAAUAAGCCCCGGCUAACUUCGUG